UUAUAUAUUUUUUUGUCUGACUUGAAGAUAGACAUAGAUUUUGUAUAUUGAUAAUCUGGAAUUCAACUUGUAUGUUAGCUUAAUGACUUAACCGGCAGAUAAAUUCUUUCUAUAUGUGCUACAAUUUAAAACUGUUAUCUGUGAGAUUUUAUACAUUAUAUAAGAGGUGCAGUAGAAAUUAGAGCACGGGAUUACCUUUGUGUGAUCCAUAUGUGAGCCAAUUGUAUACUCAUAAUUUUUCAACUGAAAUGCAACAAAUUGUACACUUCAGACUUCAAUUGGCGAUGGGCACAGAGUAUACAAUUGGGCUAAUUGGACUCAAAGGAGUAUAAAAUUCCAGGUACUAAACUUCCCUAAGAAAAAUGCAGAAUCACUGAGAUGGAAGUAUACCAUAGUAUUUGUCUGCUUCCUACAGAGUUGAUAAUCUCUUUUCCUUUUUGGUACCUCAAUAUUCUCAAGUAGCAGCCUUGAACAAAUUAGAUGAAGGGCACAGUAUUGGGGAUGCAAACAACAUCUGUGUAACUGAGAUACUUAACAAUAUUUCAAAAUGGAAGAUGUUUUGCAGCCGGCUCUUUUGGAUAUGAAAGUUUCGGCGGCCACUCAUCAUACAGACGUUUUCCCCGCUGUUUCCUUUCCGGCGAGUCUGGUAUCACUGCUGCCCUGCUCUUUACUUUCCGUCGAGACUGGUAUCACUGCUGCCCUGCUCUUUACUUUCCGUCGACUGGUAUCACUGCUGCCCUGCAUGACCUAGUGUUUGUAUUGAAGACUGAAACUUUGAUAGUCUUUGUAUUGGAGAGAAAGUGUGUAUAUAUAUAGAUAUUUAGAUAGAAUUGCUUCCCUAUUGUUAGUUAACGAAAGGGCAAAAUCGAUUGGUCUUCAAUUAAUGGCUUUGGAAAAGUAAAUCCGGCUCUUCACCAUAAA